CCAUGUUUGCCAGGAUGGUCUCAAUCUCCUGACCUUGUGAUCCACCCGCCUCGGCCUCCCAAAGUGCUGGGAUUAUAGGCGUAAGCCACCACGCCCAGCCUUGAUGGUUAAUUUUAUGUGUCAACUUGGCCACGCCAUGGUAGACAGUUUGGGCUCAAACACCAAUCUAGAUGAUGCUGUGAAGAAAUGUUUUAGAUGUGAUAAACACUUAAAUCAAUCAACUUUGAGUAAAGCAGAUGACCCUCCAUAAUGUAAGUGGACCUCAUCCAAUCAGUUGUAGGCCUUGAGAAGAGAGACUGAGGUUCCUUGGAAAAGAGGGAGGUCUACCAGCAGACGGCCUCCAGACAUGAGCUGCAACAUCAGCUCUUCCUUGGGUCUCCAGCGUGACAGCCUGCUCUGUAGAAUUCAAAUUUGCCAGCCCCUACAAUCACACAAGCAAAUUCCUUAAAACUAACCAAUCUCUGCCUCGCUCUCCCUCUCUCUUUUUAAACACACACACACACACACACACACGUGUGUACCUCUCACAUAUAUACGUGUGUGUGUGUAUCCUAUUGGUUGUUUCCCUAGAGAACCCUAAUAUGCUGAUGUAUAGAAAUACAAUUGAUUUGUUUGUGUGUGUGUGUGUGUGUGUUAACCUUAUAUCCUGCAAACUUGUUUAACUCACUUAUUAGUCCUAAGAGGUCUUUGCAAACUCACUGGGUCUUUGACAUAAACAAUUGUGUACACUAUGAACAAGAACUGUCCUCUCCAGGGUGGGGUGGGCACCAGGUUAAGAGUUAGGCAUCUCCUUGAGAUGUCCUUAUUUGCUUAGGUCCUGCAUGAAAGCACAUAGUGCCCUAGCUCUUUUGAAAAGCAGGAAAAUCCUGAAAGAAAGCAACACAGAGCUUUCUCCAUUGUGAGGUAGUGAGGAGGUGAUUAGGACACUAGGUGAGAAAGGACAGGCCUAGACAAUGAAGCAAGGGGCCAGUGGGUGGAUGGGUAAAACCACCUGCUCCUCAAAACAGCCAGGCUCUGAGAUGAAGCAGGAAUCUGCACUUAAACCGAGGCUGGAUCCAUCCUAGGGAUUCAAGCCUGUGAUGUCAAGAGAAAACAGAAAAGAAGGGAAUUCCACCUUUGCCCACUGAGAACACAUCUACGCUGAGGGCACAUCUACCCAACUCCUCUGUCACAACCCCUGUGAGAAGGUUCUGCCAUCUCCCAGCCCUGAAGAUUGUGAGGUCAUCUGACCACCUAUUACAUUGCUAAACAUGGCAGGAUGUCACCUGACUCGACACUAAGCUGCCCAUCAAUCAUCACACCCCCUUUCUCCCACUUACUUUUCUAUCACCCCGUAGAAGAUUCCCAACAGCUGUCCUUAAGUCCUCCAGGCUAUAGAAACCACUCUUGAAACAAUGUCAGCGUACCAUUAGUGCCCUUCAACUCAUACCCUCACUUCCCAGCCCCUCCUCUGUGAACAAAGUCUCUCCUUACCUCUUCCUCCAGCACUAAUCAAUCUAAUGUUCCUUCACUCUUUUCUCCCCUCCCAGCUUCCCUCCAACCUGCACCCAAUCCCCCCAAAUCCUUCCUUUCUUUCCAAUUCUCCACACCAAGACUGAACACUUGUCAGAAAUGGUGCUCCCCCUGCACCCCUCCACACCUCCUGAAGCCCAAUCCCUGUCACUUCUUACCACCCCCAGCUCCCUGAUGGCCCUGGGCCUCCCUCCUGACAGCUGAGGCCCUUCCUGGAUCUCUACACAUCACCAAGCUAAGCCAGUGUUCCAAAAUAGUCUCCUAAACAAUGAUGACAACUGCACAGUUAUUUUGGAAGAACUUCCUGGCAGUGAUGGCAGUGGAACAUUGGAAACAGAGAUGAACAGGAGGUGGGAAGAGGAGGCUAAGUACAUGUAGGCCUAAAAGUCUCUGCUUUAGGAGAUUUUCAACAGUCCUGGAUGGAGAUGAGUGUCAAAGCUACUAUCUCUCUGGGAGGAUCAUGGCAGACAGGAGGCAGGUCUAGAUUGCAGUCCCACUCAGAUGGACAGAGCAGCAUGUGGAGUAUUGCAUCAUGAACUUUUGAUCCAGAAUGACUGCAGGAAGAAAUCAGGAAAGCCAAGAGAACCCACACACCCUCUGAGGAAAGUGAAUUGUUCCUGCAGGACCUGGGAGACACCCCAAACACCGUGAGUGCCCAAACUAUGGAAGUCGGAAAGGGGCAUCGUUCACCCCCAAACACACAACCUCACUGGAGAACCUCAAGAUCUAGAUCACUGGAGAAGAUUCUGACAUUACCUGGAGCUGAGUCAAUUUAGAGAGCCGAGUGAAAUGCAGGGGUAGAGGAAGCAGUGGGAAAAUCCCUGUGGGCUCUCUGGGUGCCCUAGCAAGCCAUUUCUGCCUUACCUCCCAGGGGUCACUGGGGAGGGCUACCAGAGGCACUGGGAAAAGGCCACAGGGAGAAGGAAGCCUCCAGCUGAACUUUGUAACAAUUCUAACUGAACAAGAAGUCUCCUGGCCAGAACUAUAGGGAGGGCGUGAAUCCUGUGUGCAGACCACAGGCAGGGAAGCACAAAGGGUUCACAGCUCUCACAGCUGGGCGGCUGGUAGCCUGGGGCAAGCUCUCAGCCCUGCUUGCCCACUGCCUGGACACAGACUUGGUGCUGUUGAGCGGGGAAUGGUGAGAGUGAGACUGGCCCUUUGGGUUGUAUGGGAGCUAGGUGAGGCUUGUGAUUGCCAGCUUUUCCUCACUUCCCUGACAACCUGCAUGACACAGCAGAGGCAGCAUAAUCCUCCUAGGAACAUAACUCCAUUGACCUGGGAACCACACCUCCAUCUCCCACAGCAGCCACAGCCACACCUCCGUCUCCCACAGCAGCCACAGCCACACCUCCAUCCCCCACAGCAGCCACAGCCACACCUCCAUCCCCCACAGCAGCCACAGCCACACCUCCAUCUCCCACAGCAGCCACAGCAAGACCCGCUCAAGGAGAGUCUGAACUCAGACAUGCCUAGCGCUGCCCCCGCUUAAUGGUCCUUCCCUACCCACCCCGGUAGCUGAAGACAAACAGCAUAUACUCUUGGGAGUUCUAGGGCCCCACCCACCACCUGAUCCCUCCCAUACUACCAUAGCUGAUGCUCUCUGGAAAGUGCCACCUCCCAGCAGGAAGCCAGCCAGCUCAAAAAUAGUGCAUUAAACCACCAAGACUAAGGACCCUCACAGAGUCCAUUUCACCCCCCACCACCUCCCACCAGAGCAGGCAUUGGUAUCCACAGCUCAGAGACCCACAGAUGGUUCAUAUCACAAGACUCUGUACAGACAACUCCCAGUGCCAGCCCAGAGCCUGGUAGACCUGUUGGGUGACUAAAUUCAGAAGAGAGAUAAUACUUACUACAGCUCAGAUCUCAGGAAGCCACAUCCCUAGGAAAAGGGGGAGAGUACUACAUCAAGGGAACACCCUGUGGGACAAAAGAAUCUGAACAACAGCCUUGAGCCCUAGACCUUCCCUCCGACAGAGCAUACCCAAAUGAGAAGAACUAGGAAACCAACUCUGGUAAUAUGACAAAACAAGGCUCUUUAAUACCCUCCAAAAAAUCAUGCUAGCUCACCAGCAAUGAAUCCAACCAAAAAAAAAAUCCCUGAUUUACCUGAAAAAGAAUUCUUAAGGUCAAUUACUAAGCUAAUCAAAGAGGUGCCAGAAAAAGGAAAAGCCCAAUUUAAGGAAAUAAAAAAAAAAUACAGAAAGUAAGGGGAGAAAUUUUCAAUGAAAUAGGUAGCAUAUAGUAAAAAGCAAUCAAAACUCCAGGAACCAACGGAUGUAGUUAUAGAAAUUCAAAAUGCUCUGGGAAGUCUCAGCAAUAGAAGCGAAUGAGCAGGAGAAAGAACCUCAGAGUUCAAACACAAGGUUUUCAAAAUAAUCCAACAAAGACAAAGAAAAAAGAAUAAGAAAAUAUGAACAAAGCCUCCAAGAAGUCUGGGAUUAUGUUAAAUGACCAAACCAAAGAAUAAUCGGCAUUUCUAAGAAGAAGAGAAAUCUAAAAGUUUGGAAAACAUAUUAGGGUAUCCACUACUGGGUAUCUACCCAGAAGUCAUUACAUGAAAAGGAUACUUGCACACAUAUGUUUGUAGCAGCACAAUUCUCAGUUGUAAAAAUGUGGAACCAACCCAUAUGCCCAUCAAUCAAUGAGUGGAUAAACUGCAGUAUACAUAUAUAAUGGAAUACUACUCAGCCAUAAACAGGAAUGAAUUAAUGGCAUUCACAGCAACCUGGAUGAGAUCGGAGACCAUUAUUCUAAGUGAAAUAACUCAGGAAUGGAAAAGCAAACAUUGUAUGUUCUCAAUCAUAUGUGGGAGCUAAGCUAUGAGGAUACAGAGACAUAAGAAUGACACAGUGGACUUUGGGGACUCAGGGAGAAAGGGUGGGAAGGGAGUGAUGGA